UUAAAAUCAGUUCCUUCCCUCCUGUCCUGAGGGUAGGGGCGGGCAGAUUUUAUUACUUCUCUUUUCCUGAUAGCAGAACUGAGGCGGGGUUGUGGAGGAGCGACGGAGGACCACCUCUAACUUCCCUUCACUUCCUGGAUUUGAAGCCUCAGGGCCACCGGCCUCAGUCCUGUUACGGUGGCGGACUCGCGAGGUUUUCCAGCAGCUCAUUCCGGGACGGCGGUGUCUAGUCCAGUCCAGGGUAACUGGGCUCUCUGAGAGUCCGACCUCCAUCGGUCUGGGAGCGAGUGGUUCGAGUUCAGAUGCUGGGAACCGUCGCUUCUCCCCGGCCGGGCUCGCUGUUUUCUCCUCCGCUCGCCGUCAUCAAGCCCGGCUAUGAGCAGGGCUUUAAAUCCUCCCUCCCUCACCCGCAGGUUUACCGAGCAGCCCCGGAGCUCUCAGACAUGCUGCGCUGCGAAGAGAGGGAGGGGCAAGCUGGCAGUGCCUGGGAAAAGCCCGAGAAAAGCCCUGUCGGCUCCCUCUUCCUGGCUGCUAAAGUUGACACAAGACGGCUUCUUGGAACUCCCCCUCCUCCCGCCUAAAUGUACAGAGCAAGACUUGAAGUCAAAAGAUAGAUAGCGAUCGUGCUGAAAGUCAGGUGGAAAACAAGACUGCUAAUUUUAUGAAACAACCUAUCAACCCACUGGGAAGAGAUGUCCGCAUCCUAGGUCGAGCCUGUGGGAGAAGCACUCGGGGCCCGGGAGGCCGAGGUGGGAAUGCCUGCUCUUGGGAUAAGUGCCGCUACAUUUGUUGGGCGGCUUUGUCAGUUUAGAAAGCUUGUCCCUGCACUCUGACAGUUUCUGCUUGCAGGGCCGGGUGCCGAGGCGAGAUAGCCAGCUUCCCUGUUUCUUAGAAUAUUUCCGUAAACCAGACUGCAUCCGAGCAGCCGGGUGGUGGUACGGCUGGUAGCAGAAGGUGCAGAUGGUGCCAGGUUUGGAAACACACCCCACUGCAUAUUAUUCCACUUCACGAGUACUAAGGAGGAGUCCAGAAUUGGUGGCCGUCCUCCCUCUUGUUUUCUCAUGCAAAUAACUCAACACUCUAAUCGUAAAUCAAAGCUCCAGGGCCUACUUUUGCGAGGGGCACUGGAGAAAGAAGAGAGGGUUGCGCGCGCGCGUGCGGGAGCUUCGGAAGCUAAAUCUCACUCGCGGGGAGGAUGGGACGCGUGGGGACUGAAGGCGGCAUCUGCCUGAAUAAAGCCCUCGCGCGCUCUGAGCCUCCCACUCUGUCCUGGAGGCCUGAACCUCGCGAGUAGAGCCUGGCGCUUUUCCUCCCCGGGAGCACGACGGAUAGAAUGCGCGGGGUCGAGACGGUGUCGGUAGCGGGGGCCGCAGCGCUUUGCAAAGCCGGCCUCUGCCCCCGGCCUCCUUGGAGGGCGGUAGCGGGACCUGCGCUCGCAGCCUCUCCCCAGGGCUGUGCGCUUCGGCCUGGCGGCUGCCGGGCAAAAACCUCAUUUAUUUCCUUCCUUCCCGAGUGAGCUCACUUCCUCCCCGCGCCGCUCCCUUCCGUCGGCCGGAACCCGCUCCUGGGCCGCGCGGCUGCAGCCGGGAGCGCGGACUCGGGGUGUCGGGCGGUGUCCGCGCCCCUCCCCACCCCAGGGCCCUUCUCGGGGGAGAUAUCCAGGAGCUGAAAGAGAUUCCUCAGGAGGAAGUGGAAACCUCUGAAAGGAGAGGAAACCGACUCUUUUGCAAGAAAACUGAGCGCCGGCUGGAAGGCAAGGAAGCCGAGGCGGCCGGGGAGAUUCACCCACAUGCCUGUUGACUCGGGCCCAGUACCUGCGUCUCCUUCCUUCUCUUUCUGGCCCUCAUUUCCCCUGCUUCUCACUUUAGUUCACUGCUGUUUUAAAAAUUCAUAUGCGGGCUCAUUUAAAAAGCAAUUUCACAUUUUAAAGACUGCAGCAGCAGAGGGAGAAUUACAAAUAGGAUUGAUUUAAUUAGCUGGUAAUGCUUCUCUCAUGCCCUAUAAUUAAACAGAAAUCCUAAUGGCGUUUCAGGGCCCAAAAGUGAUUAUUACUAGCAUAUUUUACAUUUACAUUAAAACGCUGUCCCCGGGGUGUAAUCCAGGAUCUGGCUCCAUUUAUUCAAAUUUCUAACCUGAGUACUGAAGCCAGAAUACUGCUCCCCAGCAAUGGAAGGAUGGCGUGUGGGGGCUGUGGUUUGGUUUGUUUGGCUAAUUUUAACUUUUGUUCUGUUCUGUUCCUAAGGCCUAAGGAAAGCAGCCGAUGGCUCCCAAGACAACUCUGUCCGGCCAGUACUCCAGGGCAACUUCAACCCCACUAGGACCCAGGCCAAAACCAUAUAUAUAUAUAUAUAUAUAUAAAUUAACGCAAAACAGAGCCACUUUGGUGCCUACCCCUCCACAAGUAGGUAGGCACAUCCAGGUAGCUCUGUCAGAAGAUGGGACCUGGCGCCUUGCAGGGGUAGCCCUAUGGAGAUCCAGAAGCCCCGUUUCGAGCUACGAAGUCUCUCUUCUACUGCAGUCUUCUCUCCAACGUGGAGAUCUAGCAACUUCCCUCCCCCUGGGAUUCCCUGUGAAUCCACUCUAGUUGGGAUAUAGCCUCUCUACAGCUCAGUGACGUAGCGCGCCAAAACCAAGUACCCACCCCGGCAACUGGAAGACCUAGCUGUCCUCCAUCCCGCCUCCGCAGUCGAUAAUCUCCAGGAUCCAAGCAAAGUGCCUGUCCACGUUGUCACCAGAUCCACAAGCGCUUUUGAUGAGAGCUGCUACCCUUUUGGAAACACGAUUCCCUCUCCCUAGUAGAGAAGAAUCUAUUCUUCUGGGCUGGCGUAGACAAAGAAUAACCAAGAUAAAGUAUGUGGUGUGAAAAUAUCAGCUGCCUCUUCUUUUUUUGUUUUUGAAACGGAGUCUCGCUCUGUCUCCUAGGGUGGAGUGCAGUGGCACUAUCUCUGCUCACUGCAACUUCCGCCUCCUGGAUUCAAGCGAUUCUCCUACCUCAGCCUCUGGAGUAGCUGGGACUAUAGGCGCCCGCCACCACGCCCGGCUAAUUUUUUGUAUAUUUAGUAGAGACGGGGUGGGGGGGUGUUUCACCAUGUUGGCCAGGCUGGUCACGAACUCCUGACCUCAAAUGAUCGGCCCACCUCGACCUCCCAAAGUGCUGGGAUUACAGGCGUGAGCCACCGCGCGCCGGGUGGAAAACAUUAGCUUCUAAUAGCAGUCUUGGAGUGGAGUGAAGACGUUCAGGAAGUGGUGGAGAUAGGCCUGCUCAAUUAACCGGCCCCAGAUAUCAUUUCUCUGGCUACCUCUUUUCUCGCCUGGCCUGGCCCUCUAUACCGUUUUUUGUUUGUUUGUUUUGUUUUGUUUUUUUUCUGCAAAACGUUUUCUGCUGCAACUUUCUCUUUAUUUAUGCCUUUAUCUUUCUUAAACAAGAGGUCCCUGGAAAUAACUAACUAAGGAGGGGAGAGGAACCCCCUCACCCCCAAUUUCAUGAAUGAGUGCUACAUUCAUGCUGGCCGGGUACCAAGAGCAUCUUUAGAUCUUUAGACCUGAGUCUUCUCAUCUGUGAAAAAGAGGUUAAAGCAGAUGAACCCUAAAGGCCCAUUUCCAGUCUUAAAUUCAACACUUUCAAGACAAAACUUUUCUUCUGUAUUCCUGAGUGUGUAUAUAUAUGUUAUGUAAUAUAUAUUAUAAUGUAUAUAUAUAAACUUGGCUUAGUAAUGUUCUGUGCUGAGAUGCAGAUGAGGAGGACAUUUUAAACUUCUAAGGGUGCCCUCCCUCUGGUUGUUUCCUCCCAGACGAGCAUUCUUUGUGGAACAGAAAGAGAUCCUCAGGGUGGAAAGCACCAGAGGCAGGUCUCCUGAAUACGGUGCUGUCCAAGUCUACUCAUGGUCACAUGAUUCAUUAGGACUGUAAAUCCUCAUCAGAACACAAGCAUCAGACUCUCUGACCCUGCCAAUUCAAGUACUAAUGGUAAAAUCGUCCAAGAGGCUGGCCAACAUAUGCACACAUUAAUUAGAGUUAUGUGGGCCUUUGGCUUCCAGUCUGAUGAACAGCUCCAGGGAUGCAGGGGGCAGAGGGUUUGGGGUCCUUUUCACCCAGCAGAUGCCCUUUGGUCCUGAGAGGGCAUUAGUCCAAUACAGUGGGUGAUCUGAAAGCUAACCCCUUUCAGAGGAUGGCUUAACCUCAGCAACUAGGCUAAAACCUAGCAGUGGGUCCCUAAGAGGGACAGGGGAAAAAAAUCUGUUCAGAGGAAAUGAGAAUCAGCAGUAAGCUUUUGUUGUUAUUACUUCAUCUUGUAUUAUUAUGAGACAGGAGUGGGGAGAAGCCCAAGGUGAAAGAAGAGAAAUUUUUGGUAUGCAUGGAAGACGUGGAUACUUAGCAACCCUCUCCCCUGGCACUCAAGUGCACACGCAGAGAAAGUAAUUGCUAUAUUCCAUCUAGAAGCUGAAAAUGCUUUCAACACCAUUUACAAGGAUAAGGGAAGGAGCAGCUGAGGGGAGCAUGGGUUUGAUUCAACUUAACUGCAAUUCUGGCCAGGUACCACAAGUCACAGAGCAUCCCAGAGAGCAGAAUCCCAGAGAGUGUCCCCCAUCCCUGGCAAGGGACACUAUGCAUGGCACUUUUCCUACAAGAUGUGUCCUUUUCUCCAUCCAUAUCUAACUCCUAUGUGGAGGAGAGUCAAGGUCACUCACAGUCUCUAUUAGACUUGGGGAGCAAGACCCCUCAGCCUCUCCAAGGGUCACAUUGAUGUAAAUGAAGGUGUCAUCCGCUCUUGUAGGGAACAGUCACCUCUGGCUUUACCUUCAUGCCUUUUUGAAUUGUAAAGGGCAAAAUGCCUGGAGUCUAUCAAGUCUACACAUAGUUAUUAUACUGCAAAAUUUGUCUCAAUUGUUUUGUGAUAAAUGUGUAUUUCCCAAUCCCCCACCUCCUUCCAUUAUAACCCAUAUGAACCAUCUAUGGACUAGAACAUAGCAAAAAACCUCUCUAUGGUAGGAGAAAAUGUAUUUAUUACUUAUAUGAUGCAAACAAUGUAGACCUUUUCAUUUUGAGUUGGAGAGAGGGGACACACAAAAAUUGAGAAGCCACAUUCCCACAAUUCUAGGCAGAAUUUGAUCUCACUUUUUUACUUCUUUUAUUUCUCUUUCUCCCUUUUUUCUUAUUCUUUGUCCUCAUC
rnacentral:lncRNA from 1 species